rnacentral:lncRNA from 1 species
GGCUUUCCACCUCCCCACCGCAUCCUACCCAAGACAAGCUCAGAAUCCCACGCUUUGCCCUUCCCCCAACCCAACAUCCUUAGAUGGAAAGGGGAGUUUCAGAGAUGCUACUGGCAGCUGUUGUGUGGCUGACCAAGGAGAGCUAAGACUCAGAAGCUUACACAAGGGCAGAGGGGGUUCCCAGCCCAGAGAGGUCCAAUCUGGUGUGGGCAGGAAGGUGACAGAGGAAGUGUGGGAAAGCAGUUAGUGAUGCCUAAGGAAGAUGCUGAACAUUUUGAAAGUGUCAAGAGCAGCUGGGAAGGAGACACGAGGGUCGUAAUCAAGAUGGCAGCCCGGGAGAAGACUGCAGAGGCGUUCGAAUAAAGUGUUUUCCAAAACUUCGGACUCGUUCUCCUGGUGGCAUCUGGGAUGAUUUUAGGGUUCUUGUGGGGAAAUAGAAAGAGGAGCACAGAACUUCCUUAUGAAGUUGACAAAUGUAGCCAGCUCUCAUUAACGUAACUUUGUUUACAGUAGCUUAUUGUUACUCUUUCCUUCUAUUUUCAGCAAAGGAAACUGCCUUUCCAUUUACAACAAUAACAUAAAGUGCUCAUUUGAAACGUGCUUCUUAAAAAAAACGGGAAGUGUAGAGUAAAAAUGUCAAGGAGAUAAUGUAUUUUAAAUGUGAAAGUGUGAUUGUGCUACUCCAAUAAAUGAGCCUUUGAAAAUAACCCUAAUCUCUCAUGCUACUGAGAAAGGUCAAGGCCGCAGCACAGCAGUGAUUGCCAGGGUCUCCUGGAGAGAUCAUAGUAGAGACAGGAUAUAAGUGAACUGGAACAGCUAAGGUCACGAGUUCCCCAUUUCUGUUCUUGGUCCUGCAUGCUGUACCCCAGCUUGGCUCUUGCCACACCUCCAGUGAGGAGGUCCCUCUAAUGGAACCCCUUGCUUCCCAUCCAUUGUUCAAAUCCAG